rnacentral:tRNA from 1 species
AGGGUUGUAGUUAAUAAUAACAUUUGAAUUGCACUCAAAAAGUACUGAUUUACAGUCUACCUUA